rnacentral:rRNA from 1 species
CCUACGGGAGGCUGCAGUAGGGAAUCUUCCGCAAUGGACGAAAGUCUGACGGAGCAACGCCGCGUGAGUGAAGAAGGUUUUCGGAUCGUAAACCUCUGUUGUAAGGGAAGAACAAGUACGUUAGUAACUGAACGUACCUUGACGGUACCUUACCAGAAAGCCACGGCUAACUACGUGCCAGCAGCCGCGGUAAUCCGUAGGUGGCAAGCGUGAUCCGGAAUUAUUGGGCGUAAGGCGUGCGUAGGCCGUCUUGAUAGUCUAUGUGGGAAGCCCGCGGCUCAACCGGAGAGGGUCGUUGGAAAGUGGGAGACUUGAGUGCAGAAGAGGAGAGUGGAAUUCCAUGUGUAGCGGUGUAAUGCGCAGAGGUAUGGAGGAACACCAGUGGCGAAGGCGGCUCUCUGGUCUGUAACUGACGCUGAGGUGCGAAAGCGUGGGGAUCAAACAGGAUUAGAUACCCUAGUAGUC